AAAAACAUGAAAAGGACGAAGAAAAACAAGAAGAAGAAGAAGAAAAAGAAGAAAAUGAUAGCCUACCACCACCAUCACCGCCAGACCACCACCACCACCACCACCACCACCGCCGCUACGAGGAAUGCAAACACACAAGCAUCAUUUUCGUCGGUCUUCCCUUCCUCUCGCCCUUAGAGGUAGCAGAGAGGAGGAACCUAGCGUACCCCUUCAAGUCCCUCGUGGCCAGAGACAGCACGGGCGCCCUCACGAGUGGUCUGUACUUUCCUGUCACCCACGCAGCCUCCGCCAGCCUCACCCUCUUCACUAAGGAAACAGGGAAAAAGAAGAUUCCACUCACUUACUUCAUGAGAAAAGAAGAAGAA